rnacentral:rRNA from 1 species
GGGUUGUGAGGUUAAGCGACUAAGCGUACACGGUGGAUGCCCUGGCAGUCAGAGGCGAUGAAGGACGUGCUAAUCUGCGAUAAGCGUCGGUAAGGUGAUAUGAACCGUUAUAACCGGCGAUUUCCGAAUGGGGAAACCCAGUGUGUUUCGACACACUAUCAUUAACUGAAUCCAUAGGUUAAUGAGGCGAACCGGGGGAACUGAAACAUCUAAGUACCCCGAGGAAAAGAAAUCAACCGAGAUUCCCCCAGUAGCGGCGAGCGAACGGGGAGCAGCCCAGAGCCUGAAUCAGUGCGUGUGUUAGUGGAAGCGUCUGGAAAGGCGCGCGAUACAGGGUGACAGCCCCGUACACAAAAAUGCACAUGCUGUGAGCUCGAUGAGUAGGGCGGGACACGUGGUAUCCUGUCUGAAUAUGGGGGGACCAUCCUCCAAGGCUAAAUACUCCUGACUGACCGAUAGUGAACCAGUACCGUGAGGGAAAGGCGAAAAGAACCCCGGCGAGGGGAGUGAAAAAGAACCUGAAACCGUGUACGUACAAGCAGUGGGAGCACGCUUAGGCGUGUGACUGCGUACCUUUUGUAUAAUGGGUCAGCGACUUAUAUUCUGUAGCAAGGUUAACCGAAUAGGGGAGCCGAAGGGAAACCGAGUCUUAACUGGGCGUUAAGUUGCAGGGUAUAGACCCGAAACCCGGUGAUCUAGCCAUGGGCAGGUUGAAGGUUGGGUAACACUAACUGGAGGACCGAACCGACUAAUGUUGAAAAAUUAGCGGAUGACUUGUGGCUGGGGGUGAAAGGCCAAUCAAACCGGGAGAUAGCUGGUUCUCCCCGAAAGCUAUUUAGGUAGCGCCUCGUGAAUUCAUCUCCGGGGGUAGAGCACUGUUUCGGCAAGGGGGUCAUCCCGACUUACCAACCCGAUGCAAACUGCGAAUACCGGAGAAUGUUAUCACGGGAGACACACGGCGGGUGCUAACGUCCGUCGUGAAGAGGGAAACAACCCAGACCGCCAGCUAAGGUCCCAAAGUCAUGGUUAAGUGGGAAACGAUGUGGGAAGGCCCAGACAGCCAGGAUGUUGGCUUAGAAGCAGCCAUCAUUUAAAGAAAGCGUAAUAGCUCACUGGUCGAGUCGGCCUGCGCGGAAGAUGUAACGGGGCUAAACCAUGCACCGAAGCUGCGGCAGCGACGCUUAUGCGUUGUUGGGUAGGGGAGCGUUCUGUAAGCCUGCGAAGGUGUGCUGUGAGGCAUGCUGGAGGUAUCAGAAGUGCGAAUGCUGACAUAAGUAACGAUAAAGCGGGUGAAAAGCCCGCUCGCCGGAAGACCAAGGGUUCCUGUCCAACGUUAAUCGGGGCAGGGUGAGUCGACCCCUAAGGCGAGGCCGAAAGGCGUAGUCGAUGGGAAACAGGUUAAUAUUCCUGUACUUGGUGUUACUGCGAAGGGGGGACGGAGAAGGCUAUGUUGGCCGGGCGACGGUUGUCCCGGUUUAAGCGUGUAGGCUGGUUUUCCAGGCAAAUCCGGAAAAUCAAGGCUGAGGCGUGAUGACGAGGCACUACGGUGCUGAAGCAACAAAUGCCCUGCUUCCAGGAAAAGCCUCUAAGCAUCAGGUAACAUCAAAUCGUACCCCAAACCGACACAGGUGGUCAGGUAGAGAAUACCAAGGCGCUUGAGAGAACUCGGGUGAAGGAACUAGGCAAAAUGGUGCCGUAACUUCGGGAGAAGGCACGCUGAUAUGUAGGUGAAGUCCCUCGCGGAUGGAGCUGAAAUCAGUCGAAGAUACCAGCUGGCUGCAACUGUUUAUUAAAAACACAGCACUGUGCAAACACGAAAGUGGACGUAUACGGUGUGACGCCUGCCCGGUGCCGGAAGGUUAAUUGAUGGGGUCAGCGCAAGCGAAGCUCUUGAUCGAAGCCCCGGUAAACGGCGGCCGUAACUAUAACGGUCCUAAGGUAGCGAAAUUCCUUGUCGGGUAAGUUCCGACCUGCACGAAUGGCGUAAUGAUGGCCAGGCUGUCUCCACCCGAGACUCAGUGAAAUUGAACUCGCUGUGAAGAUGCAGUGUACCCGCGGCAAGACGGAAAGACCCCGUGAACCUUUACUAUAGCUUGACACUGAACAUUGAGCCUUGAUGUGUAGGAUAGGUGGGAGGCUUUGAAGUGUGGACGCCAGUCUGCAUGGAGCCGACCUUGAAAUACCACCCUUUAAUGUUUGAUGUUCUAACGUUGACCCGUGAUCCGGGUUGCGGACAGUGUCUGGUGGGUAGUUUGACUGGGGCGGUCUCCUCCUAAAGAGUAACGGAGGAGCACGAAGGUUGGCUAAUCCUGGUCGGACAUCAGGAGGUUAGUGCAAUGGCAUAAGCCAGCUUGACUGCGAGCGUGACGGCGCGAGCAGGUGCGAAAGCAGGUCAUAGUGAUCCGGUGGUUCUGAAUGGAAGGGCCAUCGCUCAACGGAUAAAAGGUACUCCGGGGAUAACAGGCUGAUACCGCCCAAGAGUUCAUAUCGACGGCGGUGUUUGGCACCUCGAUGUCGGCUCAUCACAUCCUGGGGCUGAAGUAGGUCCCAAGGGUAUGGCUGUUCGCCAUUUAAAGUGGUACGCGAGCUGGGUUUAGAACGUCGUGAGACAGUUCGGUCCCUAUCUGCCGUGGGCGCUGGAGAACUGAGGGGGGCUGCUCCUAGUACGAGAGGACCGGAGUGGACGCAUCACUGGUGUUCGGGUUGUCAUGCCAAUGGCACUGCCCGGUAGCUAAAUGCGGAAGAGAUAAGUGCUGAAAGCAUCUAAGCACGAAACUUGCCCCGAGAUGAGUUCUCCCUGACCCUUUAAGGGUCCUGAAGGAACGUUGAAGACGACGACGUUGAUAGGCCGGGUGUGUAAGCGCAGCGAUGCGUUGAGCUAACCGGUACUAAUGAACCGUGAGGCUUAACCUUACAACGCCGAAGCUGUU